rnacentral:rRNA from 1 species
AGUUUGAUCAUGGCUCAGAAUCAACGCUGGCGGCGUGCCUAACACAUGCAAGUCGAACGGGAAAGUGGAGCAAUCCAUGAGUAUAGUGGCGACCGGGUGAGUAACACGUGACUACCUACCCUUGAGUGGGGGAUAACCUCGGGAAACCGAGGCUAAUACCGCAUAAUAUCGAGAGAUCAAAGGAGCAAUCCGCUCUUGGAGGGGGUCGCGGCUGAUUAGCUAGUUGGUAGGGUAAUGGCCUACCAAGGCGAAGAUCGGUAUCCAGCCUGAGAGGGCGCACGGACACACUGGAACUGAAACACGGUCCAGACUCCUACGGGAGGCAGCAGUGGGGAAUUUUGCGCAAUGGGGGAAACCCUGACGCAGCAACGCCGCGUGGAGGAUGAAGCCCCUUGGGGUGUAAACUCCUUUCGACCGGGACGAUAAUGACGGUACCGGUGGAAGAAGCACCGGCUAACUCUGUGCCAGCAGCCGCGGUAAUACAGAGGGUGCGAGCGUUGUUCGGAAUUAUUGGGCGUAAAGGGCGCGUAGGCGGUGCGGUAAGUCACCUGUGAAACCUCUGGGCUCAACUCAGAGCCUGCAGGCGAAACUACCGUGCUGGAGGGUGGGAGAGGUGCGUGGAAUUCCCGGUGUAGCGGUGGAGUGCGUAGAUAUCGGGAGGA